rnacentral:tRNA from 1 species
GCAUCGAUGGUUCAGUGGUAGAAUGCUCGCCUGCCACGUGGGCGGCCCCGGUUCGAUUCCCGGUCGAUGAU